GCAUUGUGUGUGUAUGUGAGGUGUGUGGGGGGGACAGAGGUUGUGUGCAUUGUGUGUGUGGGGAGAGGGGUUGUGUGCAUUGUGUACACAGCCAAAAAUCCACGGGUCCGUUUCAGGCCGUUGGUUGAAAACGGGCCGUUACGGGCCCGUGAACGGCCUGUAUACAGGAUGUAGCCUACCCACGUCCUGUAUACAGGCCGUUCUCACGGGCUGUAAACAGGACGUUAGCCCACAUCCUGUUUACAGCCCGUGGAUACGGGCCUGUAUCAGGGCGUAGCACCCACGUCCUGUAUACAGGCUGUUGCAGCUGUAGCUUAUGCGCAUGCGCUAGCUUGGGGCAGGAUGACGUCACCUGACUACAAAAAGAGAAUGAGACAGACAGCUCUGAGAAAAAAUCCUGCUGCUUGUCACAAGAGGAGCUGCUGGUCCAAAAAGACAACUUGAAGAGGACUAUACACUAUUAGUCUACCUGUGAACAAAAAAGGUUUGCACGUUGUUAUGGACUUUUGAAGUUGGAACACUGGUCAAUUUUACAAGUUAGAACAGUUACAGCUGUCAAGUAUGAGAGCUAGCUACUUCUCCAAACAGCUAGGUUCUACUGGAAGCUAUAACCUUUGACCAGACUCGCCCACCACCAAUAUUCAGCAGCUGCCGUUUUCAAUUUGCAUUGCACAAGUCUACCAACACUGCUCUACCUCUGAGCCACAGCUUGACUAGAAACACAGAGCAAGGAUUGAACUGCAGUGUUUCAGGCUCAUGAACAUGUAAUAAGUAGCUUAGACUGCUAGCUAGCUCAGGUCAAUAUGACAAUAACACAAAACAUAGUCUACAAACCUUUUUGCGUGCUGUAUUGCUAUUUUACUGUGUACAAAUUGUCAAGAUGAUUCAAAA